rnacentral:lncRNA from 1 species
ACAGCCACCGUUUAUGAUGACGCCAACUCCUGUAUUAGGCGGCGGUACCCCGGGAUUCAUCGGUAUACCUCCGCCGGUGCAAGACCUUCCUCCUAUUUUACCUCCACCGGUUCAAGACUUCCCUUCAAUAUUGCCUCCACCGGUUCAAGACCUUCCUUCCAUGCUUCCUCCACCGGUUCAAGAGUUCCCGCCAAUUUUGCCUCCACCGGCUCAAGACCUUCCUUCAAUGUUUCCUCCACCGGCUCAAGAGUUGCCUCCACCGGUUCAAGACUUUCCACAGAUUUUACCUCCACCGGCUCAAGAGUUCCCGCCAGUUUUGCCUCCACCGGUUCAAAACUUUCCACAGAUUUUACCUCCACCGGUUCAAGAAUUUCCGCCGAUUCUACCACCACCGGUUCAAGACUUCCCACCGGUUUUCUCAACACCACCAAUCCUACAAGAUCCACCAACAGAACCAAUAUUCUCCACGCCACCA